rnacentral:tRNA from 1 species
UGGUUAAUGGGGACGGACUGUAAAUCCGCUGGCAAUGCCUACGCUGGUUCAAAUCCAGCUCGGCCCA